AUUUUGGCGAUGAAGAAAAAGAGUACCUGAACCUUUUCCUUUCAAGCGAGUCCGGACGGUGGAAGCGGACAAGGAGAAAUCAGCGAAGUGCAUUUCCGAGCCCUGCAGGCGAAUGAAGUAGCCGCAGCGGGAGCGCCCGAUACAGCGCGCAUGAGAUGUAGAAAUACAUGAAAUUGGGUGGAAUCACGAAGCUAAGCUCUCGUCCCUUUA
rnacentral:ncRNA from 1 species